rnacentral:rRNA from 1 species
GAUGAACGCUGGCGGCGUGCCUAAUACAUGCAAGUCGAGCGAACGGACGAGAAGCUUGCUUCUCUGAUGUUAGCGGCGGACGGGUGAGUAACACGUGGAUAACCUACCUAUAAGACUGGGAUAACUUCGGGAAACCGGAGCUAAUACCGGAUAAUAUUUUGAACCGCAUGGUUCAAAAGUGAAAGACGGUCUUGCUGUCUCUUAUAGAUGGAUCCGCGCUGCAUUAGCUAGUUGGUAAGGUAACGGCUUACCAAGGCAACGAUGCAUAGCCGACCUGAGAGGGUGAUCAGCCACACUGGAACUGAGACACGGUCCAGACUCCUACGGGAGGCAGCAGUAGGGAAUCUUCCGCAAUGGGCGAAAGCCUGACGGAGCAACGCCGCGUGAGUGAUGAAGGUCUUCGGAUCGUAAAACUCUGUUAUUAGGGAAGAACAGAUGUGUAAGUAACUGUGCACAUCUUGACGGUACCUAAUCAGAAAGCCACGGCUAACUACGUG